ACUACGGGAGGCAGCAGUAGGGAAUCUUUCACAAUGGGCGAAAGCCUGAUGGAGCAACGCCGCGUGCAGGAUGAAGGACUUCGGGUUGUAAACUGCUUUUAUCAGCGAGAAAUAUGAUGGUACCUUAUGAAUAAGGAUCGGCUAACUACGUGCCAGCAGCCGCGGUCAUACGUAGGAUCCGAGCAUUAUCCGGAGUUACUGGGUGUAAAGAGUUGCGUAGGUGGCAUGUUAAGUAGCUAGGGAAAUCUGGUGGCUCAACCAUUCAGACUAUUAGGUAAACUGUGAGGCUCGAGACCGGGAGGGGUAACCGGAAUUUCUAGUGUAGGAGUGAAAUGCGUAGAUAUUAGAAAGAACACCAGUAGCGUAGGCAGGUUACUGGAACGGUUCUGACACUAAGGCUCGAAAGCGUAGGGAGCAAACGGGAUUAGAUACCCGUGUAGUC
rnacentral:rRNA from 1 species